rnacentral:rRNA from 1 species
GACGAACGCUGGCGGCGUGCUUAACACAUGCAAGUCGAACGGAAAGGCCCUGCUUUUGUGUGGUGCUCGAGUGGCGAACGGGUGAGUAACACGUGAGUAACCUGCCCUUGACUUUGGGAUAACUUCUGGAAACUGCGGCUAAUACCGCAUAGGAUCUCCUGCUGCAUGUUGGGGGUUGGAAAGUUUCGGCGGUUGGGGAUCGACUCGCGGCUUAUCAGCUUGUUUGUGUGGUAGUGGCUUACCAAGGGUUUGACGGGUAGCCUGCCUGAGAGGGUGACCAGCCACAUGAGGACUGAGAGACGGACCAGACUCCUACGGGAGGCAGCAGUGGGGAAUAUUGCACAGUGGGCGGAAGCCUGAGGCAGAGACGCCGCGUGCGGGAUGACGGCCUUCGGGUGGUAAACCGCUUUCGCCUGUGACGAAGCGUGAGUGACGGUAAUGGGUAAAGAAGCACCGGCUAACUACGUG